UUUCGCAAUGCCCGAAAGGGUGACGAAGCGGCGCCGCGUGUGGGAAGAAGGCCUUCGGGUUGUAAACCACUGUCGGGAGUUAGGAAAUGUAAGGGUGCUAAUAGUAUCCUUGCUUGACUAAGGCUCCGGAGGAAGCCACGGCUAACUCUGUGCCAGCAGCCGCGGUAAUACAGAGGCGGCAAGCGUUGUUCGGAAUUAUUGGGCGUAAAGAGCACGUAGGCGGCCUUGUAAGUCAGUUGUGAAAGCCUUCUGCUUAACGGAAGAACAGCAGCUGAUACUGCAAGGCUAGAGUGCGGAAGGGGAGAGUGGAACUUCUGGUGGAGCGGUGAAAUGCGUAGAUAUCAGAAGGAACACCGGCGGCGAAGGCGACUCUCUGGUCCGUAACUGACGCUGAGUGUGCGAAAGCUAGGGGAGCAAACGGGAUUAGAUACCCCGGUAGUCCUAGCCGUAAACGAUGGGCACUAAGUAGAGGGGUUUUA
rnacentral:rRNA from 1 species